rnacentral:rRNA from 1 species
GAAUCUUCCACAAUGGACGAAAGUCUGAUGGAGCAAUGCCGCGUGAGCGAAGAAGGUUUUCGGAUCGUAAAGCUCUGUUGUAAGGGAAGAACACGUACAGGAGUAACUGCCCGUACCUUGACGGUACCUUAUUAGAAAGCCCCGGCUACCUACGUGCCAGCCGCCGCGGUAAUACGUAGGUGGCAAGCGUUGUCCGGAAUUAUUGGGCGUAAAGCGCGCGCAGGCGGUCCUUUAAGUCUGAUGUGAAAUCCCACGGCUCAGCCGUGGAAAGUCAUUGGAAACUGGGGGACUUGAGUACAGAAGAGGAAAGCGGAAUUCCAAGUGUAGCGGUGAAAUGCGUAGAGAUUUGGAGGAACACCAGUGGCGAAGGCGGCUUUCUGGACUGUAACUGACGCUGAGGCGCGAAAGCGUGGGGAGCAAACA